UUUAGGGUACAACCGCUCAAAAAAGGUUAUAAGUGAAAAAUAUCCACCUUUAUUUGGCGAGGCAUAAAGCAAAA
rfam:Firmicutes bacterium CAG:631 genomic scaffold, scf68